rnacentral:rRNA from 1 species
AUGUUUCUUUGUACUGAUGUGUUUGUUGCUGCAGCAAACUUGUUACAAUAUCCAGUUCCAUUUAAGUUUAUUCCGUUUGGGAAUGGUAGUCAGAAUCCAAGCUAUCCAGAGCUUAUCAACAAUAUUCUCAUGAAUGUAAGUUUACUAUCUUAA